AGUGAACGCUGGCGGUAGGCCUAACACAUGCAAGUCGAACGGCAGCACAGUAAGAGCUUGCUCUUACGGGUGGCGAGUGGCGGACGGGUGAGGAAUACAUCGGAAUCUACUUUUUCGUGGGGGAUAACGUAGGGAAACUUACGCUAAUACCGCAUACGACCUACGGGUGAAAGCAGGGGAUCUUCGGACCUUGCGCGAUUGAAUGAGCCGAUGUCGGAUUAGCUGGUUGGCGGGGUAAAGGCCCACCAAGGCGACGAUCCGUAGCUGGUCUGAGAGGGUGAUCAGCCACACUGGAACUGAGACACGGUCCAGACUCCUACGGGAGGCAGCAGUGGGGAAUAUUGGACAAUGGGCGCAAGCCUGAUCCAGCCAUACCGCGUGGGUGAAGAAGGCCUUCGGGUUGUAAAGCCCUUUUGUUGGGAAAGAAAAGCAGCAGGUUAAUACCCCGCUGUUCUGACGGUACCCAAAGAAUAAGCACCGGCUAACUUCGUG
rnacentral:rRNA from 1 species